rnacentral:rRNA from 1 species
CCUACGGGAGGCAGCAGUAAGGAAUAUUGGUCAAUGGUGGCAACACUGAACCAGCCAUGCCGCGUGCAGGAUGAAGGUUCUAUGAAUUGUAAACUGCUUUUAUACGGGAAAAAACUUUCGAACGUGUUCGAAACUGAUGGUACCGUAAGAAUAAGGAUCGGCUAACUUCGUGCCAGCAGCCGCGGUAAGACGAAGGAUCCAAGCGUUAUCCGGAUUUAUUGGGUUUAAAGGGUGCGUAGGUGGACUUGUAAGUCAGUGGUGAAAGCCCGAUGCUUAACAUCGGAACUGCCAUUGAUACUGCAAGUCUUGAAUAUGUUUGAAGUGGGCGGAAUGUGUCGUGUAGCGGUGAAAUGCUUAGAUAUGACACAGAACACCGAUUGCGAAGGCAGCUCACUAAACCAUUAUUGACACUGAGGCACGAAAGCGUGGGGAGCAAACAGGAUUAGAUACCCUGGUAGUCCACGCCCUAAACGUUGAAUACUCGAUGUGUGCGAUACACUGUACGUCGUCCAACGAGAAGUACGUUAAGUAGUUACCUACCGUGGGAGGUACGUCGUCGCGAGAGUAGAACGUUACAAUUAGAGUUAGACGGCGUUGAGACGUUGCCGACGGACGACGACGAGGGGAGGAGG